rnacentral:rRNA from 1 species
ACUCCUACGGGAGGCAGCAGUGGGGAAUUUUCCGCAAUGGGCGAAAGCCUGACGGAGCAAUACCGCGUGAGGGAUGACGGCCUGUGGGUUGUAAACCUCUUUUCUCAAGGAAGAAGUUCUGACGGUACUUGAGGAAUAAGCAUCGGCUAACUCUGUGCCAGCAGCCGCGGUAAUAC